rnacentral:rRNA from 1 species
UACGAAGGGGGCUAGCGUUGUUCGGAAUUACUGGGCGUAAAGGGCGCGUAGGCGGUACUUCAAGUCAGGCGUGAAAGCCCCGGGCUCAACCUGGGAACCGCGCUUGAGACUGGAGAACUAGAGUUCGGGAGAGGAUGGUGGAAUUCCCAGUGUAGAGGUGAAAUUCGUAGAUAUUGGGAAGAACACCGAUGGCGAAGGCAGCCAUCUGGACCGACACUGACGCUGAUGCACGAAAGCGUGGGGAGCAAACAGG